UACGAAGGGUGCAAGCGUUACUCGGAAUUACUGGGCGUAAAGCGUGCGCAGGCGGUUGUGCAAGACAGAUGUGAAAUCCCCGGGCUUAACCUGGGAACUGCAUUUGUGACUGCACGGCUGGAGUGCGGCAGAGGGGGAUGGAAUUCCGCGUGUAGCAGUGAAAUGCGUAGAUAUGCGGAGGAACACCGAUGGCGAAGGCAAUCCCCUGGGCCUGCACUGACGCUCAUGCGCGAAAGCGUGGGGAGCAAACAGG
rnacentral:rRNA from 1 species